AUUGAACGCUGGCGGCAGGCCUAACACAUGCAAGUCGACGCAAGCGGCGGACGGGUGAGUAAUGUCUGGGAAACUGCCUGAUGGAGGGGGAUAACUACUGGAAACGGUAUCUAAUACCGCAUACUAUCAGAUUAGCCUAGGUCGGAUUAGCUAGUGGGUGGGGUAAAGGCCUACCAAGGCGACGCUCCGUAACUGGUCUGAGAGGAUGAUCAGUCACGCUGGAACUGAGACACGGUCCAGACUCCUACGGGAGGCAGCAGUGGGGAAUAUUGGACAAUGGGGGAAAGCCUGAUCCCUCCAUGCCGCGUUUGUGAAGAAGGGCUUCGGAUUGUAAAGCACUUUAAGUUGGGAGGCGUUACCAACAGAAUAAGCACCGGCUAACUUCGUGCCAGAGCCGCGGUAAUAC
rnacentral:rRNA from 1 species